rnacentral:lncRNA from 1 species
AUGAUACGAAUUUAAACAUGGAUUGAAUCAUCAAUACUAACCUAAACAAUUUUGAACAAAAUCAAACAGGAGAUGUUCAUCAUCUAACCUAAAUCCAUACUACAUAAGUUUAAACAACAUGUACCCAACAAAACAGCUUUUCUAGCCAAGUAGCAAGCUACAUUUCAAAUCCAAACUUGAAAGAGAGGUAUAAUUUUAGGAACAUGACUGAGCAAAGGAAACACAUAAAAUAAAGCUAAAAACUGUAAAAGGCUAGACAAAUUUAAAAGAAACAGUGAGAAUCAAUUGGAAAGGCUACAUCUAUCAUUAGAUCUUCGGAAUUCAAAUACAUAUUCCAAACUUACACUUCAUAUAUCAGGGUCCCAAAAGAUACCUGAAAAUAAAGCAAAAUGGGGUGAGGACCUCAGCAAGAGUAGAAAUAUGAGUAAAGCAAAUAAAUUAACAACAAACUUCAGAUUGCUGAACUUUCUUUAAAUCCAGAGAAUCACAAUUCUCAUGAAAGUUCUUUUAAUUCUUAAAAAAAAAACAGAAAAGAAGAAAACCCAACCAGCAAUGCAGAAACUCUUUUUUUUUUGUAAUUUUUAAGGUAUGAAAGUCUGAUGGAUUUUUCAGGACUUAGGUGCAGAGAAUAAUGCUUAAUUCUGUCCUUGAGAGUGAAGGAAGGGCACUACAUAUAGGCCUCUAAGGCCAUGUGCUCAAAAACAGAAUUAAGGAAUUAUUCUCAGCCUGCAAAAGACAUCUUUUAACUAACUGGGACAACUGGUUGUCCCUUAUUGGCUCAGCAUAUUUGUGCUAACCAAAUAGGGACAGCUACCCCUUAUUUUGGAAGCUUCCAAAUGCAGAAAUUACUUUAAAAAGUCCCUAUUUUAUUUUCCAACUUAACCCCCUAAGUUUCAACUGUUCAAUUAACCCCCUAAGGGUUUCUAACAAUUAGCAAAUUAUGGCAAACAAGAACAAAGCAGGCAGCAUUGGAAAUUAAUAUCAAAUAACAUCAAAAAUGCAAUUAAACCUUCAGACUAAUCCUAAAUUCAUUUAACAUGAACCAAAUUAGCAAUGAAAUAGAAAUAGAAAUAACUCCAACCCAAUACUCACACGAGCCCAGAACUAACAAUGAUGAACCAUUAUCUAAGAACUACCCCAAUUGAACAUACCAACAUGCUAGGCUAAGGAAUUAUACUGAUUCAAAGUUAAACUAAUUAGACUAGAGAACGUACUGAUCAAACCCAGAAUCAUGCAACAAAAUGAAAUCUAGACUAGCAAAAUAAAAAUGCUGAUUUCACAAUUAAACUAAUUAGACGCAUACUAAACCAAAUUAACAGGACCUAACAAAACUACUAACUAAGUAUGCAUAAUCAAGAAAGAACAAAGAAACGAAAAACCUAACAACCCAGGAUUAUGGCUAACUAAACUUCUUCAUUUUUUGGUCAAAGAAAGAGAAAACAAAAAGUAAAAGAAAACAGAGUGAUGCAAAAGAGAAUAAGGUAAAGAAGAAAAGAAGGAUGAGGAAAUAGAAAGAGGAAAGAAGGAUGGAUAUACCUACCGCAUGAACGAACAGUGACUCUGGGGGACCCAGCAUUCUCCGAUUUAAAUCAAAAAUAGGUGUCAAACAACUGUUCCCAUUUAGAACAAACGAGUAACAUCCAUUUUUGGCUCAAAUCAUCUUGGAAGCUCAUAUUUAGGGUUUGCAUGUCACAAGAUUUGAAAUUGGUGAAAUUUGAGAAGGAUUCGAGGGGGUUGAUUUAGGGAUCUGGAAAGAAGAGGAGGUGAGGAGUGUUUGGUGUAAUUUUGAAGUGAUUUGGAGACCGGGCACCACCGUGAGGCGAUUUUUGGUGGCGGAAUACGGCGGAGAUGACAGAGAAUAUGAGGGCGGCUAGGGUUUACCCUCUUUGAGUUUGAGAGAUAUAGAAUGGGGGGGCGUUUGGACAAUUUUAUACUUAGGAACGGGUAGUUC